AACGAACGCUGGCGGCAGGCCUAACACAUGCAAGUCGAGCGCGCCUUCGGGUGAGCGGCGGACGGGUGAGUAACGCGUGGGAAUAUGCCCUUCUCUACGGAAUACUCCUGGGAAACUGGGGGUAAUACCGUAUACGCCCUUUGGGGGAAAGAUUUAUCGGGGAAGGAUUAGCCCGCGUUGGAUUAGGUAGUUGGUGGGGUAAUGGCCUACCAAGCCGACGAUCCAUAGCUGGUUUGAGAGGAUGAUCAGCCACACUGGGACUGAGACACGGCCCAGACUCCUACGGGAGGCAGCAGUGGGGAAUCUUAGACAAUGGGGGCAACCCUGAUCUAGCCAUGCCGCGUGAGUGAUGAAGGCCUUAGGGUUGUAAAGCUCUUUCAGCUGGGAAGAUAAUGACGGUACCAGCAGAAGAAGCCCCGGCUAACUCCGUG
rnacentral:rRNA from 1 species